rnacentral:rRNA from 1 species
GAAUGGGGAAACCCAGUGUGACUCGUCACACUAUCAUUAACUGAAUCCAUAGGUUAAUGAGGCGAACCGGGGGAACUGAAACAUCUAAGUACCCCGAGGAAAAGAAAUCAACCGAGAUUCCCCCAGUAGCGGCGAGCGAACGGGGAGGAGCCCAGAGCCUGAAUCAGCAUGUGUGUUAGUGGAAGCGUCUGGAAAGGCGCGCGAUACAGGGUGACAGCCCCGUACACAAAAGCGCAUGUGCUGUGAGCUCGAUGAGUAGGGCGGGACACGUGGUAUCCUGUCUGAAUAUGGGGGGACCAUCCUCCAAGGCUAAAUACUCCUGACUGACCGAUAGUGAACCAGUACCGUGAGGGAAAGGCGAAAAGAACCCCGGCGAGGGGAGUGAAAAAGAACCUGAAACCGUGUACGUACAAGCAGU